AGCACCCACCCAACAUUGCAUUGAUUUCUAAAAAAGAAAUAAAGAAUCUUUUUUUUGGCCAGGAAAAACGGUGGGCAUGGGGGUUGUUAGUUCGAUCUUGAAAUGUUGGGUUUAGGUCCAAAACAGGCCAAACCCCUAUUUCUUAGUGCCAGGGGUUAAAGCGGGGCACUCUAGGGAGACUGCCAUGGAUAAACGGGAGGAAGGUGGGGAUGACGUCAAAUCAUCAUGCCCCUUAUGCUUUGGGCUACACACGUGUUACAAUGGUGUUAACAAAGAGAAGCCAAGUCGCGAGAGGAGCAAAUCCCAAAAACACAGUCUCAGUUCGGAUUGCAGUCUGCAACUCGCCUGCAUGAAGUCGGAAUCGCUAGUAAUCGCAGAUCAG
rnacentral:rRNA from 1 species